AGGCACAUAGCUCAGUUGGUUAGAGCACCACCUUGACAUGGUGGGGGUCGUUGGUUCGAGUCCAGUUGUGCCUACCA
rnacentral:tRNA from 1 species